rnacentral:rRNA from 4 species
UUCCGUAGGUGAACCUGCGGAAGGAUCAUUACCUAGAGUUGUAGGCUUUGCCUGCUAUCUCUUACCCAUGUCUUUUGAGUACCUUCGUUUCCUCGGCGGGUCCGCCCGCCGAUUGGACAAAACUUAAACCCUUUGCAGUUGCAAUCAGCGUCUGAAAAAACUUAAUAGUUACAACUUUCAACAACGGAUCUCUUGGUUCUGGCAUCGAUGAAGAACGCAGCGAAAUGCGAUAAGUAGUGUGAAUUGCAGAAUUCAGUGAAUCAUCGAAUCUUUGAACGCACAUUGCGCCCCUUGGUAUUCCAUGGGGCAUGCCUGUUCGAGCGUCAUUUGUACCUUCAAGCUCUGCUUGGUGUUGGGUGUUUGUCUCGCCUCUGCGUGUAGACUCGCCUCAAAACAAUUGGCAGCCGGCGUAUUGAUUUCGGAGCGCAGUACAUCUCGCGCUUUGCACUCAUAACGACGACGAUCCAAAAGUACAUUUUUACACUCUUGACCUCGGAUCAGGUAGGGAUACCCGCUGAACUUAAGCAUAUCAAUAAGCGGAGGAA